rnacentral:rRNA from 1 species
UACGAAGGGGGCUAGCGUUGCUCGGAAUCACUGGGCGUAAAGCGCACGUAGGCGGAUCGUUAAGUCGAGGGUGAAAUCCCAGGGCUCAACCCUGGAACUGCCUUCGAUACUGGCGAUCUUCGAGUCCGGGAGAGGUGAGUGGAACUCCGAGUGUAGAGGUGAAAUUCGUAGAUAUUCGCAAGAACACCAGUGGCGAAGGCGGCUCACUGGCCCGAUACUGACGCUGAGGCACGAAAGCGUGGGGAGCAAACAGG